rnacentral:lncRNA from 1 species
UGAAGACUGUGAUGGUUUGUAUAUUCUUGGACCAGGGAGUGGCACCAUCCGGAGGUGUGGCCUUGUUGGAUUAGGUGUGACCUGGUUGGAAUAGGUGUGUCACUGUGGGUGUGGGCUUAAGACUCUCACCCCAGUUGCCUGGAAAGUCAAUCUUCCACUAGUAGCCUUUGGAUGAAGACGUAGAACUCUCAGCUCUGCUUGUGCCAUGCCUGCCUGGAUACUGCCAUGCUCCCACCUUAAUAAUGGACUGAACCUCUGAACCUGUAAGCCAGCCCCAAGUAAAUGUUGUUUUUUAUAAGACUGCCUUGGUCAUGGUGUCUGUUAACAGAAGUAAAAUCCUAACUAAGAGAAAGAUCCAGAAAUAAAACCACAAACUAUGAACAUUCGAUCUUUGACAAAUAAGCCAAAAAUAUACAAUGGACAAAAGAAAGCAUCUUCAAUAGAUGGUGCUGGUCUCACUUGCAGUCAGUAUGUAGAAAAAUGGAAAUAGAUCCAUACUUGUCACCUGUACAAAGCUCAAGCAAUCCAAGUGGAUCAAGGACCUUGACAUAAAACCAAAUACACUGAAUCUAAUAGAAGACAAAGUGGGAAAGAGCCUCAAACUCCUGGGCGGGGGAGGGGGGUGUCGAAGAUUUCCUAACUAGAACUCCAAUGGCUCAGGCUCUAAGAUCAAGAAUUGAUAAAUGGGACCUCAUGAAACUGAAAAGCUCCUAUAAGACAAAGGACAUAGUCAAUAGGACAAAUCAGCAACCUACAGAUUGGGAAAAAAAAUCUUCACUAACCCCACAUCCGAUAGUGAGCUAAUAUUCAAAAGAUAUAAAGAACUCAAGAAGCUAACCUCCAGAAAACAAACAACCCAAUCAAAAAAUGAAGUAUAGAACUAAACCAAGAAUUUACAACAGAGAAACAUUGAAUGGCUGAGAAACACUUAAAGAAAUGUUCAAAGUGAUCAGGGAAAUGCAAAUCUAAACAACCCUGAGAUACCACCUUACACCAAUCAGAAUGGCUAAGAUCAAAACUCAGGUGACAGCACAUGUUAGGGGAGAAUUCAGAGAAAGAGGAACAUUGCUGGUUGGAUUGCAAACUGGUACAAUCACUCUGGAAAUCAAUCUGGGGGUUCUUCAGAAAACUGGAAUUAGAUCUACCUAAAGACCUAGCUAUACCACUCCUGAGCAUAUACUCAAAAGAUAUCCCACCAUGCCACAAGGGUACAUGCUCCACUAUGCUCAUAGCAGCCUUAUUUGUGAUAUCCAGAAGCUGGAAACAACCCAGAUGUCCCACAACAAAAGAAUGGAUACAGAAAAUGUGGUUCAUUUACACAACGAGGACAUCAUGAGUUUUGCAGGCAAAUGAAUGGAACUAGAAAAUAUCAUCCUGAGUGAGGUAUCUCAGACCCAAAAAGAACAUGUAUGUAUGGAAUGUACUCACUAAUAAGUAGAUAUUAGCCCCAAAAAAGCACAGAAUAUCCAGGAUACAAUCCACAGAACUCAAAAAGGUUAUCAAUCCAAUAGGGCCCAAGUGAGGAUGCUUUAACUCGAAGGCAGAGGGAGGGAGGGAACUGAGUGAGAGAGGGGAGGGGCAGGGGAAAAGGGGGACUUGAUCAGGUAUUGGGGGUGGGGACCAGGAGUGAAACCCGAGGGCCAACAGAAAGAAUGGAAAUAUACAACCUCGGGAGGUGGGAGAACCCUCUAAAAUGUAGCAGAGACCUGGAAGUGAGAGAACCUCAAAACUCAAAGGGAAAGACCUUAGAUGAAAUGCCCAACGGUGGUGAGAAGGAACUUGUAGAAUCUACCUCCAGUAGAAAGACAGAGUAUCAAGUAGAAGGAUGGGGUUGCUAUCCCACAGUCAAAAACUCUGACCCAGAAUUGUUCCAGUCUAAAAGAACUGUGGGGACAAAAAUGGCAAAGAUACUGAUGGAAAGGAGGUCCAGUGACUGGUCCAAAUUGAGACCCAUCUCAAGGUGAGGCUCCAAGGCCUGACACUAUUACUGAUGUCAUGAUGUACUUACAGUCGGGAACCUAGCAUGGCUGCCCUCCAAGAUGCCCAACAAGCAGCUGACUGAGACAGAAGAGAUAAUUAUACCCAGCCAAUGGACAGAAGCUGGGGAGCCCUGUGAUUGAAUUAGGGGAAAUCUGGAAGAAGCUGAGGAGGAGGGCGACCCUGUAGGAGGAUCAGCAGUCUCAACAAACCUGGACCCCCUAAGAUCUCUCAGACACUGACCUACCAACCAGACAAUAUACAACAGAGGACUGCCUAUCUGGACUCAGUCAGAGAAGAUGCAAUUAAUCGUUGAGAGACUUGAGGCCCCAGGGAAUGGGGAGGCCUAGCAGGGUGGAGGGUGGGGUGGGGAUAUCCUCUUGGAGAGGGGGGGUUUGGGGGGAAGGAAUGGGAUGAGGAACUGUCAGAGAGCAGAACAGGAGGAGGAUAACAACUGGACUGUAAAGAAAGAUUAAAGAUAAUAAAAACAAAAACACAGGUCUGGUGAGAUGUCUCAGCGGGCACUGGCUGUGGUCUUCAAGAAGUCCUGAGUUUAAUUCCCAUCAACCACAUGGUGGCUCAUGAUUAUCUAUAAUGGUAUCCAAUGCUCUUUUCUGCCAUGCAGGUGUACAUGCAAAUAGAACACUCAUUACAUCAAUAAAUAAUUUUUUAAAAAACACACAAAUUCACACAUUCCACUGAGAAGGUAAAUAAAGCGUUGUAUAUUGACCUAGUAGGGUAUAUUUCAGCAGUUAAAACAGAGGGACUGUAUACCACACAGCAACCAUGCAUGAAAAACAGGCUGAGCAUGGCCCUCAGUGGUUCAGCACUUACCUUACCUAGAAGGCCCUAACUUCUAGGCCCAAUACGAG